AGAUGAGAGGGAGAACACAAACAAAACAACAACCUCAUUUCGUCACAAUCGGAUAAGAAGUAAUGGAUUGUUUAAUGUUGAUAAUGAAAGGAAAGGAAAUGAAAAAAGGGUGGGUGAAAGAUGAGUUGUGUUGGAAUGUUUGUCUUGUUUUCCAAGCCUAUUCUAUCUUUUUUGACACAAAUAGUAACAUAUAUUACUUUUUACUUUUGCUAUCACUGGCAUCAUUCAACUCUUUUCACCUCCGAUUCCAUUCCAAUGUCCAAAUUUCCUUGCGAUUCUUGUUAGUUUUCGCCCCACCCAAAAAAUUCCCUUUCCCCCCCCCUUUUUACCACUAAACAACAACCGCAUAUCAUUUGCCGAGCAUCCCCGCUUCCCCGCCCAGCAUUUCAAUUACCCCUCCUUUUGAGAGGAGAGCUCGGCCGACCCAUGUCGGCCUGAGAAUUCGAGACCAAGGAAAAAAAUAUUGCAUGUCAACUUUAUGUGGCCAACCGCAAUGCAAAGAAGUGGAAAGCGGUGCGUAGCAGUGGAUAGCAAACGAUAAGGAGUGAGAUGAGAGAAAGAAAAAUAUAGAGAGAGAAAAACAUAGAGGGAUGGAGAAGAGACACAUGAUGGAAAUAAAAAGAGUAUGCGCGAUAUUUGAGUAUCGAAAAGUCAUUGAAAGUAUUAUUUGAUAAUUAAUUUUCUAAAAAAACCUUUUCACACAUUAUAGUUUCACUUGGAUUUUAUUCUCUGUUUACACUAGACGAUAUGUCU